GGACUGUGGUUUAGUGGUAUGACACCUGCUUUGCAUGCAGGAUGUCCUGGACUCAAUCCCUGGUGUCUCCA